rnacentral:rRNA from 1 species
GAUGAACGCUGGCGGCGUGCCUAAUACAUGCAAGUCGAGCGAACGGACGCGAAGCUUGCUUCUCUGAUGUUAGCGGCGGACGUGUGAGUAACACGUGGAUAACCUCCCUAUAAGACUGGGAUCACUUCGGGACACCGUAGCUAAUACCGGAUAAUAUUUUGCACCGCAUGGUUCAAUAGUGAAAGACGGUCUUGCUGUCUCUUAUAGAUGGAUCCGCGCUGCAUUAGCUAGUUGGUAAGGUAACGGCUUACCAAGGCAACGAUGCAUAGCCGACCUGAGAGGGGGAUCGGCCACACGGGAACGGAGACACGGCCCAGACGACUACGGGAGGCAGCAGAAGGGAAUGUUCGGCAAUGGGCGGAAGCCUGACGGAGCAACGCCGAGUGAGAGAUGAAGGUGUUCGGAUCGUAAAACUCGGUUUUGAGGGAAGAACAUAUGUGUAAGUAACUGUGCAGAUCUUGACGGUACCUAAUCAGAAAGCAACGGCUAACUACGUG